rnacentral:rRNA from 1 species
GGGUUGUGAGGUUAAGCGACUAAGCGUACACGGUGGAUGCCCUGGCAGUCAGAGGCGAUGAAGGGCGUGCUAAUCUGCGAUAAGCGCCGGUAAGGUGAUAUGAACCGUUAUAACCGGCGAUACCCGAAUGGGGAAACCCAGUGUGAUUCGUCACACUAUCAUUAACUGAAUCCAUAGGUUAAUGAGGCGAACCGGGGGAACUGAAACAUCUAAGUACCCCGAGGAAAAGAAAUCAACCGAGAUUCCCCCAGUAGCGGCGAGCGAACGGGGAGGAGCCCAGAGCCUGAAUCAGCAUGUGUGUUAGUGGAAGCGUCUGGAAAGGUGCGCGAUACAGGGUGACAGCCCCGUACACAAAAGCGCAUGUGCUGUGAGCUCGAUGAGUAGGGCGGGACACGUGGUAUCCUGUCUGAAUAUGGGGGACCAUCCUCCAAGGCUAAAUACUCCUGACUGACCGAUAGUGAACCAGUACCGUGAGGGAAAGGCGAAAAGAACCCCGGCGAGGGGAGUGAAAAAGAACCUGAAACCGUGUACGUACAAGCAGUGGGAGCACAGGUUUACCUGUGUGACUGCGUACCUUUUGUAUAAUGGGUCAGCGACUUAUAUUCUGUAGCAAGGUUAACCGUAUAGGGGAGCCGGAGGGAAACCGAGUCUUAAUUGGGCGUUAAGUUGCAGGGUAUAGACCCGAAACCCGGUGAUCUAGCCAUGGGCAGGUUGAAGGUUGGGUAACACUAACUGGAGGACCGAACCGACUAAUGUUGAAAAAUUAGCGGAUGACCUGUGGCUGGGGGUGAAAGGCCAAUCAAACCGGGAGAUAGCUGGUUCUCCCCGAAAGCUAUUUAGGUAGCGCCUCGUGAAUUCAUCUCCGGGGGUAGAGCACUGUUUCGGCUAGGGGGCCAUCCCGGCUUACCAACCCGAUGCAAACUGCGAAUACCGGAGAAUGUUAUCACGGGAGACACACGGCGGGUGCUAACGUCCGUCGUGAAGAGGGAAACAACCCAGACCGCCAGCUAAGGUCCCAAAGUCAUGGUUAAGUGGGAAACGAUGUGGGAAGGCCCAGACAGCCAGGAUGUUGGCUUAGAAGCAGCCAUCAUUUAAAGAAAGCGUAAUAGCUCACUGGUCGAGUCGGCCUGCGCGGAAGAUGUAACGGGGCUAAACCAUGCACCGAAGCUGCGGCAGCGAACGUAUCACCCAAGACAACUUUACGGAGUUGACGAUUGACGGAGCGAAGCGACGUCAAAGCGUUCAUUAAAGUCGAGUUGGCUUAGGGAUACGUUCGUUGGGUAGGGGAGCGUUCUGUAAGCCUGUGAAGGUGUGUCGUGAGGCAUGCUGGAGGUAUCAGAAGUGCGAAUGCUGACAUAAGUAACGAUAAAGCGGGUGAAAAGCCCGCUCGCCGGAAGACCAAGGGUUCCUGUCCAACGUUAAUCGGGGCAGGGUGAGUCGACCCCUAAGGCGAGGCCGAAAGGCGUAGUCGAUGGGAAACGGGUUAAUAUUCCCGUACUUGGUGUUACUGCGAAGGGGGGACGGAGAAGGCUAUGUUGGCCGGGCGACGGUUGUCCCGGUUUAAGCGUGUAGGUGUGUGUUCCAGGUAAAUCCGGUUCACUUUAACACUGAGGCGUGACGACGAGGCACUACGGUGCUGAAGCAACAAAUGCCCUGCUUCCAGGAAAAGCCUCUAAGCAUCAGGUAACAUCAAAUCGUACCCCAAACCGACACAGGUGGUCAGGUAGAGAAUACCAAGGCGCUUGAGAGAACUCGGGUGAAGGAACUAGGCAAAAUGGUGCCGUAACUUCGGGAGAAGGCACGCUGACACGUAGGUGAAGUGAUUUACUCAUGGAGCUGAAGUCAGUCGAAGAUACCAGCUGGCUGCAACUGUUUAUUAAAAACACAGCACUGUGCAAACACGAAAGUGGACGUAUACGGUGUGACGCCUGCCCGGUGCCGGAAGGUUAAUUGAUGGGGUCAGCGUAAGCGAAGCUCCUGAUCGAAGCCCCGGUAAACGGCGGCCGUAACUAUAACGGUCCUAAGGUAGCGAAAUUCCUUGUCGGGUAAGUUCCGACCUGCACGAAUGGCGUAAUGAUGGCCAGGCUGUCUCCAUCCGAGACUCAGUGAAAUUGAACUCGCUGUGAAGAUGCAGUGUACCCGCGGCAAGACGGAAAGACCCCGUGAACCUUUACUAUAGCUUGACACUGAACAUUGAGCCUUGAUGUGUAGGAUAGGUGGGAGGCUUUGAAGUGUGGACGCCAGUCUGCAUGGAGCCGACCUUGAAAUACCACCCUUUAAUGUUUGAUGUUCUAACGUGGACCCGUAAUCCGGGUUGCGGACAGUGUCUGGUGGGUAGUUUGACUGGGGCGGUCUCCUCCUAAAGAGUAACGGAGGAGCACGAAGGUUGGCUAAUCCUGGUCGGACAUCAGGAGGUUAGUGCAAUGGCAUAAGCCAGCUUGACUGCGAGCGUGACGGCGCGAGCAGGUGCGAAAGCAGGUCAUAGUGAUCCGGUGGUUCUGAAUGGAAGGGCCAUCGCUCAACGGAUAAAAGGUACUCCGGGGAUAACAGGCUGAUACCGCCCAAGAGUUCAUAUCGACGGCGGUGUUUGGCACCUCGAUGUCGGCUCAUCACAUCCUGGGGCUGAAGUAGGUCCCAAGGGUAUGGCUGUUCGCCAUUUAAAGUGGUACGCGAGCUGGGUUUAGAACGUCGUGAGACAGUUCGGUCCCUAUCUGCCGUGGGCGCUGGAGAACUGAGGGGGGCUGCUCCUAGUACGAGAGGACCGGAGUGGACGCAUCACUGGUGUUCGGGUUGUCAUGCCAAUGGCACUGCCCGGUAGCUAAAUGCGGAAGAGAUAAGUGCUGAAAGCAUCUAAGCACGAAACUUGCCCCGAGAUGAGUUCUCCCUGAGACUUAGAGUCUCCUGAAGGAACGUUGAAGACGACGACGUUGAUAGGCCGGGUGUGUAAGCGCAGCGAUGCGUUGAGCUAACCGGUACUAAUGAACCGUGAGGCUUAACCUUACAACGCCGAAG